UAGGGAAUCUUCGGCAAUGGACGAAAGUCUGACCGAGCAACGCCGCGUGAGUGAAGAAGGUUUUCGGAUCGUAAAACUCUGUUGUUAGAGAAGAACAAGGACGUUAGUAACUGAACGUCCCCUGACGGUAUCUAACCAGAAAGCCACGGCUAACUACGUGCCAGCAGCCGCGGUAAUACGUAGGUGGCAAGCGUUGUCCGGAUUUAUUGGGCGUAAAGCGAGCGCAGGCGGUUUCUUAAGUCUGAUGUGAAAGCCCCCGGCUCAACCGGGGAGGGUCAUUGGAAACUGGGAGACUUGAGUGCAGAAGAGGAGAGUGGAAUUCCAUGUGUAGCGGUGAAAUGCGUAGAUAUAUGGAGGAACACCAGUGGCGAAGGCGGCCCCCUGGACGAAGACUGACGCUCAGGUGCGAAAGCGUGGUGAGCAAACAGG
rnacentral:rRNA from 1 species